ensembl:rRNA 5S_rRNA 5S ribosomal RNA
GUCUACUGCCAUAUCUCCCUGAAUGCACCCAAUCUUUCUGAUCUCAGAAGCUAAGCAGGGCCAGGCCUGGUUAGUACUUGGAUGAGAGAAGAUAUAACAUAAGAGUGUCUGGAUAGUCAGUGGCAACAGGGA